UACGUAGGGUGCAAGCGUUGUCCGGAAUUAUUGGGCGUAAAGAGCUCGUAGGCGGUUUGUCGCGUCUGCUGUGAAAACUCGGGGCUUAACUCCGGGCCUGCAGUGGGUACGGGCAGACUGGAGUGCGGUAGGGGAGACUGGAAUUCCUGGUGUAGCGGUGAAAUGCGUAGAUAUCGUAAGGAAGACCAGUGGCGAAGGCGGGUCUCUGGACAGUUCCUGACGCUGAGGCACGAAGGCCAGGGGAGCAAACGGG
rnacentral:rRNA from 1 species